CUUCAUUUUAAAGGGAAAUACUGUCAGACUGGGGUAUAUUCAUGGUAGAGGUAAGGCUGAUGAACAAGGAAACUGAAUCUGCCAGAAACAGAAAGGAAAUGUGCUCAGGGACUCUGCUUAUCCUGUGGCACUGGUUUGAGAAAGAUACGCACGCCUGUGGCAGGUCAAGAAACAUGCAUAGACUUUGAGGAACGUAUUAGGGCUGGAGAAGAAGCUCAGCGGUUAAAAGCAUUGACUGACUGCUCUUCCAGAGGUCCUGAGUUCAAUUCACAGCAACUACAUGGUAGCUCACAACCAUCUGUAAUGGGAUCUGAUACCCUCUUCUGGUGUGUCUGAAGACAGCUUCAGUGUAUUCAU